rnacentral:lncRNA from 1 species
AUAAUCAGACCUAUAUUAUCUGAAGUCGUUAAUCUUGUAAAAUAGUUCUUUUUUAUGUAAUUAUGGUCAUUUUUUAAGUAAAUUACACCAUUCAAGAUAUUUUUACUACAAAUACCACAUUUAACGUAUUUAGUGGUAAUUACAGUGGUAAACUAAGUAAUUACAACAUUUACGACCCUCAUUACAAGUUUUUGAACAAUUCACGUAUAACAUAGUUAAAAGGUUCUUAAAAUUGUAAUUUUUUUACACAUGUCACAAUAUUACUGGAUGGCAUGUUUAACUGUACAACAGAUACUUCAUUUUUAUAUAUUAUUUUAAAAUAGUUGAUGCAUGCACUACCAGGACAAACACUUUAGCCGACGAAAAAAUUUCGUCGGCCUGUUAGCUUAAUUCGUCGGCUAAGAUCUUAGCCGACGAGCCAUCGUCGGCUAAGAUUUCGUCGGGAAAAGGUCGUCAGUGAUGACUUUAGCCGAUGAAAAAAGAAGACGUCAUCGGCUAUAGUCCCACAGCUUAGCUGACGAAAAACAUGUCGUCGGUUUUUUUCCCAAACUUUAGCCGACGAAACAAUUAAGAUAUUCGUCGGCUAAACCUUAUAAAAAAAUUAAAAAAAUAACUAUAGCCGACGAAAUAUAGUUUGUUUCGUCGGCUAAACCUAAUAAAAAAAAUGAAAAGAUACUAUAGCCGACGAAUAUAGUAUUUAAAUAUCGUCGGCUAAAGUUGCUGGUUUUUAAAAAAAAAAACUGCAGAAACUUUCGGCCACCUCCAAUCACUACUAAAAUUUGACAGAAUCUUCCUCUCAACAUUUCGAACAACUUUCUAGAAGAAGUCGAAGCCCAAUUCUAAGUCUAAACAGGUCAAUUGAAUCAAAAUAUAAAAAUCCCCAAUUUUAAACCCUAAAAACUUCAAAUCUUCGAUUCUCCUCACACACACCGAAUCGAGCUACCAAAUUCUAGAGGAAUGUAGUACUAAUCAAACUCAACUUAUCCAUAUAUAGAACUCACCAAAUGGUGACCUGAAGUAGGAGAAAUUCGAACGACACCGAAUCCGAACCAGCAGAGUUUUGGAGCUCGAUUUAUCCCUCACGGCGGCACCACUCGAUGCACCACCUGUCCAGCAAUGAAGUAGAGACGACGGCGAAGCUUUUGAGACAAGUGUGGUGGUCUCCGGUGGCUUGACGGCGGAGCUAGGCCGAGAAGAAAAUUCGGCAGACGAAACAGACUUCUUACCAUCCACCUCCAGUAAAACUCCUAUAUAAAGAACUUUACCUGAUGAAAUUCUUUAUUUUCAUCGGCUAAACUCUUUUGAAAAUUUUGGUUGAAAAUUUUGAAAAUUUUUCGACUUUAGCCGACGACUUUUCAUAUAUUUUCGUCGGCUAAAGUCCUUUGAAAAUUUUCCUCCAAAUUUGGUUUACCGCCAAAAAAAUUUUGACCUUAGCCGACGACUUUUUUAAUAUCUCGUCGGCUAAAGUCUAUAAAUUCACGAAAACGCUCAUAUCUCCCUCUAUAUUACGUAGUUUGGUCAAACCUUCCACACGAAAAACUUUCACGUAGAUGAGACGCAACCGCCUAAAUAAAAAUUUUGAGACAUUUACCUUCCAACGAUAGGGCUCCCCACAGGGAAUAAUAACGGUAAAUAGGGUUAACCGCUACUAUCGGCACCGAGACGUUACCCGAUUUACGUGAUUUUUGAACCAUAGCCGUAUUUCACCAUUAUGAACACAUCUUAUUUCAUCAGAUUUUUGAUAAGUUUGCUUCCUAUGUAGAGUUGGUUCACAAAGUUGUGUAACCUACUAAACAAGUUAUACAACAUUAAUAGACACGUUGUGAUUCCGAUUACUAAAAUUUACAAACCAAAAUUCGACCAUCAGAUAUGAUCAUUAUGACGAAAGAUGUCUAUGGUAAAAAAUUCAACUGGAUCCGAUAACGUUAUGGGCUCGAUCGAAACGGUCAACCCUAAUCUAUCGUCACUUAUCACACGAAAACGCUCAUAUCUCCCUCUAUAUUACGUAGUUUGGUCAAACCUUCCACACAAAAAACUCUCAUGUAGAUGAGACACAACUGCCCAUAUAAAAAUUUUGAGACAUUUACCUUCCGACAAUAGGGCUCCCCAUAGGGAAUAAUAACGGUAAAUAGUAGACACGUUGUGAUUCCGAUGACUAAAAUUUACAAACCAAAAUUCGACCGUCAGAUAUGAUCAUUAUGACGAAAGAUGUCUUUGGUAAAAAAUUCAACUGGAUUCGACAACGUUAAGGGCUCGAUCAAAACGGUCAACUCUAAUCGGAAAUAAGAAAAUUGCUUUUUGAAGCCCUAAACGGACUCGGAUGGCCAAAAAGGCCCAUAUUUCAUAGCAUUGCAAUGAGUUUGACUCGUAGGGCCGUUACGGUUCCUGAAAGAUUGAUAGUCAAUCGGACACCAAACGCCAAAUCUACAACAUAGUGAAUAAUAAGGGUAAAUUGCAUUGACUGCAACUAUCGUUACUGAGACUUUACCGGAAUACCGUGAUUUUUCAACCGUAGACAUAUUUCACCAUUCUGGUCAUAUCUUAUUUCACGACUUUUUUGCGUUUGAAGGUUCUACGUAUAGUUUUUUUUUUCCCAGAUGAGUUGUUGUCCAGAUUUGCAAAUAUAAGGCACUUUAGCCGAGGAAAUUAUAUCUUUCGUCGGCUAAAGUUCACAGACUAUAGCCAACGAAAAAAAUUAUUCAGACGACGAAAUUUUAAUAUCGUUGUCUAAAGUUGACCAAAGCCGACGAAAAUUUAAAUUAGCCGACAAAAAAAAAUUUUGUCGGCUAAAGUCCACGUUAGCCGACGAAAAAAUAAUUUGUCGGCCUGAUUUUUUUAUUUUCGUCCGUUAAAACCUUUCUUCUAGUAGUGAUGGUAUGCAUCAACUCAUCCUAUCAUUCCCCAAAUACGGUAAAUGUUUUUACAUUGCUGAAUUUACAUUGUUGUUGGAAUUUGAUUAGAAUUUCUUUAAAACAGAAAUGAUCCAAACACCAGAAUUUGUAAUUCCUAUCAUUUAAAAAAAUUUAUAUCAUGAAAUUCAAACACCGGAUUUCUC